CAGUAGCCGCGGUAACGGAGGGUGCAAGCGUUAAUCGGAAUUACUGGGCGUAAAGCGCACGCAGGCGGUUUGUUAAGUCAGAUGUGAAAUCCCCGGGCUCAACCUGGGAACUGCAUUUGAAACUGGCAAGCUAGAGUCUCGUAGAGGGGGGUAGAAUUCCAGGUGUAGCGGUGAAAUGCGUAGAGAUCUGGAGGAAUACCGGUGGCGAAGGCGGCCCCCUGGACGAAGACUGACGCUCAGGUGCGAAAGCGUGGGGAGCAAACAGGAUUAGAUACCCCUGUAGUCCCUGUCUCUUAUACAC
rnacentral:rRNA from 1 species